rnacentral:rRNA from 1 species
CAGCCGCCACGGUAAUACGUAGGGUGCGAGCGUUAAUCGGAAUUACUGGGCGUAAAGCGCGCGUAGGUGGUUUGUUAAGUUGGAUGUGAAAUCCCCGGGCUCAACCUGGGAACUGCAUUCAAAACUGACUGACUAGAGUAUGGUAGAGGGUGGUGGAAUUUCCUGUGUAGCGGUGAAAUGCGUAGAUAUAGGAAGGAACACCAGUGGCGAAGGCGACCACCUGGACUAAUACUGACACUGAGGUGCGAAAGCGUGGGGAGCAAACAGGAUUAGAUACCCCUGAGUCCCUGUCUCUUAUACA